GACGGGGGAUGCAAGUGUUAUCCGGAAUCACUGGGCGUAAAGCGUCUGCAGGUGGUUUCCUAAGUCCACUGUUAAACCUUGAGGCUCAACCUCAAAUCUGCAUUGGAAACUAGGAGACUUGAGUAUAGUAGGGGUAGAGGGAAUUUCCAGUGGAGCGGUGAAAUGCGUAGAUAUUGGAAAAGAACACCGAUGGCGAAGGCACUCUACUGGGCUAUUACUGACACUCAGAGACGAAAGCUAGGGGAGCAAAUGGG
rnacentral:rRNA from 1 species